GACGAACGCUGGCGGCGUGCUUAACACAUGCAAGUCGAACGGAAAGGCCCUGCUUUUGUGGGGUGCUCGAGUGGCGAACGGGUGAGUAACACGUGAGUAACCUGCCCUUGACUUUGGGAUAACUUCAGGAAACUGGGGCUAAUACCGGAUAGGAGCUCCUGCUGCAUGGUGGGGGUUGGAAAGUUUCGGCGGUUGGGGAUGGACUCGCGGCUUAUCAGCUUGUUGGUGGGGUAGUGGCUUACCAAGGCUUUGACGGGUAGCCGGCCUGAGGGGGUGACCGGCCACAUUGGGACUGAGAUACGGCCUAGACUCCUACGGGAGGCAGCAGUGGGGAAUAUUGCACAAUGGGCGGAAGCCUGAUGCAGCAACGCCGCGUGCGGGAUGACGGCCUUCGGGUUGUAAACCGCUUUCGCCUGUGACGAAGCGUGAGUGACGGUAAUGGGUAAAGAAGCACCGGCUAACUACGUG
rnacentral:rRNA from 1 species